AAACCCUAAUGCUGGCUGAUUGGAAAAAAGUUCAGUUAGGGUUUAAAACCCUAAUGCUGACUAAAGGAAAAAUUCAGUUUAGGGUUUAAAACCCUAAUGCUGAUUACAUGGAAAAGCUCAGUUUAGGGUUUAAAACCCUAAUGCUGGCUGAAAGGAAAAAAGUUCAGUUUAGGGUUUAAAACCCUAAAGCCGGCUAAAGGAAAAAUUCAGUUUAGGGGUUUAAAACCCUAAUGUUGAUUGCAUGGAAAAAAUUCAGUUUGGGGUUUAAAACCCUAAUGCUGGCUGAAUGGAAAAAUUCAGUUUAGGGUUUAAAACUCUAAUGCUGACUGAAAGGAAAAUUCAGUUUAGGGUUUAAAACCCUAAUGCCGACUGGAAGGAAAAGCUCAGUUUAGGGUUUAAAACCCUAAUGCUGGCUGAAUGGAAAAAGUUCAGUUUAGGGUUUAAAACCCUAAUGCUGACUAAAGGAAAAAUUCAGUUUAGGGUUUAAAACCCUAAUGCUGACUAAAGGGAAAAUUCAGUUUAGGGUUUAAAACCCUAAUGCUGAUUACAUGGAAAAGCUCAGUUUAGGGUUUAAAACCCUAAUGCUGGCUGAAAUGAAAAAAGUUCAGUUUAGGGCUUAAAACCCUAAUGCUGAUUACAUGGAAAAGCUCAGUUUAGGGUUUAAAACCCUAUUGCUGGCUGAAAUGAAAAAAGUUCAGUUUAGGGUUUAAAACCCUAAUGCCGGCUAAAGGAAAAAUUCAGUUUAGGGUUUAAAACCCUAAUGCUGAUUGCAUGGAAAAGCUCAGUUUGGGGUUUAAAACCCUAAUGCUGGCUGAAUGGAAAAAAGUUCAGUUUAGGGUUUAAAACCCUAAUGCUGACUAAAGGAAAAAUUCAGUUUAGGAUUUAAAACCCUAAUGUUGAUCGCAUGGAAAAGCUCAGUUUAGGGGUUAAAACCCUAAUGCUGGCUGAAUGGAAAAAAGUUCAGUUUGGGGUUUAAAACCCUAAUGCUAACUGGAAGGAAAAGCUCAGUUUGGGGUUUAAAACCCUAAUGCUGGCUGAAUGGGAAAAAGUUCAGUUUAGGGUUUAAAACUCUAAUGCUGACUAAAGGAAAAAUUCAGUUUAGGGUUUAAAACCCUAAUGCUGAUCGCAUGAAAAAGCUCAGUUUAGGGUUUAAAACCCUAAUGCUGGCUGAAUGGAAAAAAGUUCAGUUUAGGGUUUAAAACCCUAAUGCUGACUAAAGGAAAAAUUCAGUUUAGGGUUUAAAACCCUAAUGCUGAUCGCAUGGAAAAGCUCAAUUUAGGGUUUAAAACCCUAAUGCUGGCUGAAUGGAAAAAAGUUCAGUUUAGGGUUUAAAACCCUAAUGCUGACUGGAAGGAAAAGCUCAGUUUGGGGUUUAAAACCCUAAUGCUGGCUAAAGGAAAAAUUCAGUUUAGGGUUUAAAACCCUAAUGCUGAUCGCAUGGAAAAGCUCAGUUUAGGGUUUAAAACCCUAAUGCUGGCUGAAUGGAAAAAAGUUUAGUUUAGGGUUUAAAACCCUAAUGCUGAAUGGAAGGAAAAGCUCAGUUUGGAG
rnacentral:lncRNA from 1 species